CAACCUUAACACAGCAAGACAACUCUUCCGAAACCUGUAUUAAACAAAGCACUUUAGAACAAUAGUAAUUCAUUUUGUUUCUCCUAUUUCAUUCCUAGUUGUUCUGGAAAUAAAAGAUUGUUUAAGUGGGAUAACUGUACUGUAUUAAAACAUGAUCACACACAUACAGAAUUGGUGGCUUUUUGGACAUCGGAAUCUAUAAAAG